rnacentral:rRNA from 1 species
AGUGAACGCUGGCGGCGUGCUUAACACAUGCAAGUCGAACGAGAACGGGUUAUAGCUUGCUAUAAUUGUCAGCUAAGUGGCGCACGGGUGAGUAAUGUAUAGGUAAUAUGCCUCUUACUAAGGGAUAACAAAUGGAAACGUUUGCUAAUACCUUAUACUCCUUAUUAACAUAAGUUAAUAAGGGAAAGAUUUAUUGGUAAGAGAUUAGCCUGUAUUGUAUCAGUUAGUUGGUGGGGUAAUGGCUUACCAAGACUAUGACACAUAACUGGUUUGAGAGGAUGAUCAGUCACACUGGAACUGAGACACGGUCCAGACUCCUACGGGAGGCAGCAGUGGGGAAUAUUGCACAAUGGACGAAAGUCUGAUGCAGCAACGCCGCGUGGAGGAUGACACAUUUCGGUGCGUAAACUCCUUUUAUAUGAGAAGAUAGUGACGGUAUUAUAUGAAUAAGCACCGGCUAACUCCGUGCCAGCCGCCGCAGUAA